AACGAACGCUGGCGGCAUGCCUAACACAUGCAAGUCGAACGAGACCUUCGGGUCUAGUGGCGCACGGGUGCGUAACGCGUGGGAAUCUGCCCUUAGGUACGGAAUAACUCAGGGAAACUUGAGCUAAUACCGUAUAAUGACUUCGGUCCAAAGAUUUAUCGCCUAAGGAUGAGCCCGCGUCGGAUUAGCUAGUUGGUGAGGUAAAAGCUCACCAAGGCGACGAUCCGUAGCNGGUCUGAGAGGAUGAUCAGCCACACUGGGACUGAGACACGGCCCAGACUCCUACGGGAGGCAGCAGUGGGGAAUAUUGGACAAUGGGCGAAAGCCUGAUCCAGCAAUGCCGCGUGAGUGAUGAAGGCC
rnacentral:rRNA from 1 species